rnacentral:lncRNA from 1 species
AGGAAAGCUACUGUGGACGCCAUGCUUCAUUGGACCCUACUCUGUGCCACUCUGACCUACAGCCACGUUCCUCAGAACACUGAGUCCCCAAGACUCCAGAGGAGGCAGGUGUUAUCAUUCCCCAUUUUGCAGAAGAGGAACCUUGAGCCUUGAGAUUCCACGAGCUAAAGGAACUUUCCCAAGGUCACAGAGCUGAGCUGGGAACUGAGCCAUGGCAGAUUUGGCUUCACCCAUUACCCUCAAGAGCCCCAGUCAAGGGUACCAAGAGGGGAGACAGAGGAAAGAAGUCCAGGCUGGACCUGUCGGGACGACUGUAAGUAUGAGUGUAUGUGGGUCACCGUUGGGCUCUACCUCCAGGAAGGUCACAAAGUGCCUCAGUUCCAUGGCAAGUGGCCCUUCUCCCGGUUCCUGUUCUUUCAAGAGCCGGCAUCGGCCGUGGCCUCGUUUCUCAAUGGCCUGGCCAGCCUGGUGAUGCUCUGCCGCUACCGCACCUUCGUGCCAGCCUCCUCCCCCAUGUACCACACCUGUGUGGCCUUCG